rnacentral:rRNA from 1 species
AUUGAACGCUGGCGGCAUGCCUUACACAUGCAAGUCGAACGGCAGCACGGGGGCAACCCUGGUGGCGAGUGGCGAACGGGUGAGUAACAUAUCGGAACGUGCCCUGGAGUGGGGGAUAACUAGUCGAAAGACUAGCUAAUACCGCAUACGAUCUACGGAUGAAAGUGGGGGAUCGCAAGACCUCAUGCUCGUGGAGCGGCCGAUAUCUGAUUAGCUAGUUGGUGGGGUAAAGGCCUACCAAGGCAUCGAUCAGUAGCUGGUCUGAGAGGACGACCAGCCACACUGGGACUGAGACACGGCCCAGACUCCUACGGGAGGCAGCAGUGGGGAAUUUUGGACAAUGGGCGCAAGCCUGAUCCAGCAAUGCCGCGUGAGUGAAGAAGGCCUUCGGGUUGUAAAGCUCUUUUGUCAGGGAAGAAACGGUGGGGGCUAAUACCUUCUGCUAAUGACGGUA